rnacentral:rRNA from 1 species
UACGUAGGGGGCGAGCGUUGUCCGGAAUCAUUGGGCGUAAAGCGCGCGUAGGCGGCCAGAUAAGUCCGGUGUGAAAGUCACAGGCUCAACCUGUGAAUGCCGCUGGAAACUGUCUGGCUAGAGUCCGGAAGGGGCGAGUGGAAUUCCUGGUGUAGCGGUGAAAUGCGCAGAUAUCAGGAGGAACACCAAUGGCGAAGGCAGCUCGCUGGAACGGUACUGACGCUGAGGCGCGAAAGCGUGGGUAGCAAACAGG